GGUCCUGUAGCUCGGCUGGUAGAGCAUGGUGCUUGCAACGCCAGUGUUGUGGGUUCAAUUCCCACGUGGGGACCA